rnacentral:rRNA from 1 species
UACGAAGGGGGCUAGCGUUGUUCGGAAUUACUGGGCGUAAAGGGCGCGUAGGCGGUACUUCAAGUCAGGCGUGAAAGCCCCGGGCUCAACCUGGGAACCGCGCUUGAGACUGGAGAACUAGAGUUCGGGAGAGGAUGGUGGAAUUCCCAGUGUAGAGGUGAAAUUCGUAGAUAUUGGGAAGAACACCGAUGGCGAAGGCGGCCAUCUGGACCGGCACUGACGCUGAGGCGCGAAAGCGUGGGGAGCAAACAGG